CCGGCAGAUCUGAAUCACCUGCACCGCAUUAUCUCAUCUAGAGGAGCAUAAGAGGAGGAGGCAGCCUACACAUCGGUGCCAGAGUGUUUGCCAGGUUUGGUACUUCAGGCCACCUGUUCUACUUUAGUGAUUGCUCUCGUCGUGAAUUCCUUGUGAUAUUGUUUUUGUGCCUCCUUCCCAGAAACUCUCCUUGAGACACCGGUGGAUUCUACCCACUGGAUGGCCAAGAACCCGUUACCUUCUUAUUGUGACCAGAUCUCCCCGGAUCUCCAAGUAGGCUGUUUUCCUUGCUCCUGCCAUAGAGAAAACCUGGUCUGAUCUUGUCCGCCCUCCAGUGCCGCCCCCCACGUUCAGCAGCAACCCCCCGGCUUCAAGACAUUCACCCUGGAACCAUCAUAUCCCUCCCUGGUCCUGAUCAUCUCCACCAAGAUCACAGUCCAGAAGCGCUGAUCCAACCCCGGACCUGAUUGCCUUUUUGAUUAUUGCCUUCUUUAUAAUAUCAUUUUACUGAUUUCCCUUGUACUGUGGGUAUUCUUGCAUGUGGGUCAGAAGAUUAAAACCUGACAUGACGGUCUCGUUCUCCAUUCUUUGAUGGACUGUAGAGAGCAGUGUUGGGCACCUAUGGCAAACAUGCAACACUACACAAUGUGUCUGGAAUUAAUAAAUACAGUUAUUAGAAACAUG